UACGUAGGGCGCAAGCGUUGUCCGGAAUUAUUGGGCGUAAAGAGCUCGUAGGCGGCUUGUCACGUCGAUUGUGAAAGCCCCGAGGCUUAACCUCGGGUCUGCAGUCGAUACGGGCUAGCUAGAGUGUGGUAGGGGAGAUCGGAAUUCCUGGUGUAGCGGUGAAAUGCGCAGAUAUCAGGAGGAACACCGGUGGCGAAGGCGGAUCUCUGGGCCGAUACUGACGCUGAGGAGCGAAAGCGUGGGGAGCGAACAGG
rnacentral:rRNA from 1 species